GAUCUCUGAAUUCUAGGGGAUGCAGAAGGGCUGUAAGAGAUGCAAUCCCAGUUGGCUUCCGCGCUGGGGUCAUCGAAGAAAGGCUGAUAACAAUCUUCCUGGUGGCAGUCUAGAAGUUUCCAUCUUGAAGCUUUGAGGGGUUCCCAGGUUGCUCGGUAAUAAAGAAUCCGCCUGCCAAUGCAGAAGCCACUGGAGACUCGGGUUCGAUCCCUGGGUCAGGAAGAUCCCAUGGAGGAGGAAAUGGCAACCUGCUUCAGUAUUCUUGCCUGGAAAAUCCCAAACUCCAGACUUUAAUCAGAUUUCACCAAUUUUCUUUUUCUGUUCCAGAAUCCCAGCCAGGACACCACCCUGCAUUUAGUUCCCCUGUCUCCUUAGUC
ensembl:lncRNA